rnacentral:rRNA from 1 species
GACGAACGCUGGCGGCGUGCCUAAUACAUGCAAGUUGAGCGCUGAAGGUUGGUACUUGUACCAACUGGAUGAGCAGCGAACGGGUGAGUAACGCGUGGGGAAUCUGCCUUUGAGCGGGGGACAACAUUUGGAAACGAAUGCUAAUACCGCAUAAAAACUUUAAACACAAGUUUUAAGUUUGAAAGAUGCAAUUGCAUCACUCAAAGAUGAUCCCGCGUUGUAUUAGCUAGUUGGUGAGGUAAAGGCUCACCAAGGCGAUAAUACAUAGCCGACCUGAGAGGGUGAUAGGCCACAUUGGGACUGAGACACGGCCCAAACUCCUACGGGAGGCAGCAGUAGGGAAUCUUCGGCAAUGGACGAAAGUCUGAACGAGCAACGCCGCGUGAGUGAAGAAGGUUUUCGGAUCGUAAAACUCUGUUGGUAGAGAAGAACGUUGGUGAGAGUGGAAAGCUCAUCAAGUGACGGUAACUACCCAGAAAGGGACGGCUAACUACGUG